AAAUUGAAGAGUUUGAUCAUGGCUCAGAUUGAACGCUGGCGGCAGGCCUAACACAUGCAAGUCGAACGGUAACAGGAAGCAGCUUGCUGCUUCGCUGACGAGUGGCGGACGGGUGAGUAAUGUCUGGGAAACUGCCUGAUGGAGGGGGAUAACUACUGGAAACGGUGGCUAAUACCGCAUAAUGUCGCAGGACCAAAGAGGGGGACCUUCGGGCCUCUUGCCAUCAGAUGUGCCCAGAUGGGAUUAGCUUGUUGGUGAGGUAACGGCUCACCAAGGCGACGAUCCCUAGCUGGUCUGAGAGGAUGACCAGCCACACUGGAACUGAGACACGGUCCAGACUCCUACGGGAGGCAGCAGUGGGGAAUAUUGCACAAUGGGCGCAAGCCUGAUGCAGCCAUGCCGCGUGUAUGAAGAAGGCCUUCGGGUUGUAAAGUACUUUCAGCGGGGAGGAAGGUGUUGUGGUUAAUAACCGCAGCAAUUGACGUUACCCGCAGAAGAAGCACCGGCUAACUCCGUGCCAGCAGCCGCGGUAAUACGGAGGGUGCAAGCGUUAAUCGGAAUUACUGGGCGUAAAGCGCACGCAGGCGGUCUGUCAAGUCGGAUGUGAAAUCCCCGGGCUCAACCUGGGAACUGCAUUCGAAACUGGCAGGCU
rnacentral:rRNA from 1 species